rnacentral:miRNA from 1 species
CGGGGCCGGGCAGGGCAGGG